GCAGUCGUGGCCGAGUGGUUAAGGCCAUGGAUGGACUAGAAAUUCAUUGGGGUCUCUCCGCACAUGUUCCAAUCCUGUCGACUGCG
rnacentral:tRNA from 2 species